UACGUAGGGGGCAAGCGUUAUCCGGAUUCACUGGGUGUAAAGGGAGCGUAGACGGCCAUGCAAGCCUGGAGUGAAAGCCCGGGGCCCAACCCCGGGACUGCUCUGGGAACUGUGCGGCUGGAGUGCGGGAGGGGCAGGCGGAAUUCCUGGUGUAGCGGUGAAAUGCGUAGAUAUCAGGAGGAACACCGGCGGCGAAGGCGGCCUGCUGGACCGCGACUGACGUUGAGGCUCGAAAGCGUGGGGGGCAAACAGG
rnacentral:rRNA from 1 species